rnacentral:rRNA from 1 species
UACGUAGGGUGCGAGCGUUAAUCGGAAUUACUGGGCGUAAAGCGCACGUAGGCGGUUGGUUAAGUUGGAUGUGAAAGCCCCGGGCUCAACCUGGGAACUGCAUUUGUGACUGCAAGGCUAGAGUACGGCAGAGGGGGAUGGAAUUCCGCGUGUAGCAGUGAAAUGCGUAGAUAUGCGGAGGAACACCGAUGGCGAAGGCAAUCCCCUGGGCCUGUACUGACGCUCAUGCACGAAAGCGUGGGGAGCAAACAGG